CCUACGGGAGGCAGCAGUGAGGAAUAUUGGUCAAUGGACGAGAGUCUGAACCAGCCAAGUAGCGUGAAGGAUGACUGCCCUAUGGGUUGUAAACUUCUUUUAUAUGGGAAUAAAACGUUCCACGUGUGGGAUUUUGUAUGUACCAUAUGAAUAAGGAUCGGCUAACUCCGUGCCAGCAGCCGCGGUAAUACGGAGGAUCCGAGCGUUAUCCGGAUUUAUUGGGUUUAAAGGGAGCGUAGGUGGAUUGUUAAGUGAGUUGUGAAAGUUUGCGGCUCAACCGUAAAAUUGCAGUUGAAACUGGCAGUCUUGAGUACAGUAGAGGUGGGCGGAAUUCGUGGUGUAGCGGUGAAAUGCUUAGAUAUCACGAAGAACUCCGAUUGCGAAGGCAGUUCACUGGACUGCAACUGACACUGAGGCUCGAAAGUGUGGGUAUCAAACAGGAUUAGAUACCCGUGUAGUC
rnacentral:rRNA from 1 species